UAGAGGAAGUAAAAGUCGAUUCAACCAAACCGUAGGUGAACCUGCGGAAGGAUCAUUA
rnacentral:rRNA from 1 species